rnacentral:rRNA from 1 species
CCUACGGGUGGCAGCAGUCGAGAAUCAUUCACAAUGGGGGAAACCCUGAUGGUGCGACGCCGCGUGGGGGAAUGAAGGUCUUCGGAUUGUAAACCCCUGUCAUGUGGGAGCAAAUUAAAAAGAUCGUACCACAAGAGGAAGAGACGGCUAACUCUGUGCCAGCAGCCGCGGUAAUACAGAGGUCUCAAGCGUUGUUCGGAAUCACUGGGCGUAAGGCGUGCGUAGGCUGUUUCGUAAGUCGUGUGUGAAAGGCGCGGGCUCAACCCGCGGACGGCACAUGAUACUGCGAGACUAGAGUAAUGGAGGGGGAACCGGAAUUCUCGGUGUAGCAGUGAAAUGCGUAGAUAUCGAGAGGAACACUCGUGGCGAAGGCGGGUUCCUGGACAUUAACUGACGCUGAGGCACGAAGGCCAGGGGAGCGAAAGGGAUUAGAUACCCUAGUAGUC